rnacentral:misc_RNA from 1 species
AAAACUUCUCAACCACAUUGAAUGAUGUGGCUUGGAUUGUGGGGGUCUUUUUUGCAGGCUUUCUCAAGAAGGUCGGCUCCCCUGAAAUGUAUUAGUGGUAUCUGUGCUACUAUGGUGUGAUAAAUUAUCUAUGCCUUUGGUAUGCUGCAUGAACUGCUUCUAAUUUAUAUUAUGA